rnacentral:rRNA from 1 species
CCUACGGGCGACAGCAGUGGGGAAUAUUGCACAAUGGGGGAAACCCUGAUGCAGCGACGCCGCGUGAGUGAAGAAGUAUCUCGGUACGUAAAGCUCUAUCAGCAGGGAAGAUAAUGACGGUACCUGACCAAGAAGCCCCGGCUAAUUACGUGCCAGCAGCCGCGGUAAUACGUAGGGGGCAAGCGUUAUCCGGAAUUACUGGGUGUAAAGGGAGCGUAGACGGUAAUGCAAGUCUGGAGUGAAAGGCGGGGGCCCAACCCCCGGACUGCUCUGGAAACUGUGUAACUGGAGUGCAGGAGAGGCAGGCGGAAUUCCUAGUGUAGCGGUGAAAUGCGUAGAUAUUAGGAGGAACACCAGUGGCGAAGGCGGCUCACUGGACUGUAACUGACGUUGAGGCUCGAAAGCGUGGGGAGCAAACAGGAUUAGAUACCCGGGUAGUC